ACUUUAUGAUGAGCCUUUAUUUCAGUUCUGCUUCCGAAUCGUAGAGCGUAAGCUCUAGUGGUGGAAACCUUUAUACCAAAACUCUCAAUUCUGAUCU
rfam:Postia placenta Mad-698-R POSPLscaffold_19_Cont1386, whole genome shotgun sequence.